CAGUCGCCGCGGUAAUGCGUAGGUGGCAAGCGUUGUCCGGAAUUAUUGGGCGUAAAGCGCGCGCAGGCGGAUAGGUCAGUCUGUCUUAAAAGUUCGGGGCUUAACCCCGUGAUGGGAUGGAAACUGCCAAUCUAGAGUAUCGGAGAGGAAAGUGGAAUUCCUAGUGUAGCGGUGAAAUGCGUAGAUAUUAGGAAGAACACCAGUGGCGAAGGCGACUUUCUGGACGAAAACUGACGCUGAGGCGCGAAAGCCAGGGGAGCGAACGGGAUUAGAUACCCCUGUAGUCCCUGUCUCUUAUACA
rnacentral:rRNA from 1 species